rnacentral:rRNA from 1 species
GAUGAACGCUGGCGGCGUGCCUAAUACAUGCAAGUCGAGCGAACAGACGAGGAGCUUGCUCCUCUGACGUUAGCGGCGGACGGGUGAGCAACACGUGGAUAACCUACCUAUAAGACUGGGAUAACUUCGGGAAACCGGAGCUAAUACCGGAUAAUAUAUUGAACCGCAUGGUUCAAUAGUGAAAGACGGUUUUGCUGUCACUUAUAGAUGGAUCCGCGCCGCAUUAGCUAGUUGGUAAGGUAACGGCUUACCAAGGCAACGAUGCGUAGCCGACCUGAGAGGGUGAUCGGCCACACUGGAACUGAGACACGGUCCAGACUCCUACGGGAGGCAGCAGUAGGGAAUCUUCCGCAAUGGGCGAAAGCCUGACGGAGCAACGCCGCGUGAGUGAUGAAGGUCUUCGGAUCGUAAAACUCUGUUAUUAGGGAAGAACAAAUGUGUAAGUAACUAUGCACGUCUUGACGGUACCUAAUCAGAAAGCCACGGCUAACUACGU